CGCACCUUGCACCCUUUGGUAUUCCGAAGGGUAUGCCUGUUUGAGUGUCAUUUAACUCCUCAACCUCCAGGCUUGAUUGUCCUUCGGAGGCUUGGAUGUGGGAGUCUGCGGGCUGCGACAAGCGGUCGGCUCUCCUGAAAUGCAUUAGCUGGGGUUAAGGCCCUUGCCUAUUGGUGUGAUAAUUAUCAUCGCCGACGGGUCCAAGGCUUUGAAAGCCCUGCUUCCAAUUGUCUUCGGACAGCUUCGCUAUCGAAGCUUCUAUUGACCAUUGUGACCUCAAAUCAGGUAGGAUUACCCGCUGAACUUAA
rnacentral:misc_RNA from 1 species